GAUGAACGCUGGCGGCGUGCUUAACACAUGCAAGUCGAACGGUGAACACGGAGCUUGCUCUGUGGGAUCAGUGGCGAACGGGUGAGUAACACGUGAGCAACCUGCCCCUGACUCUGGGAUAAGCGCUGGAAACGGCGUCUAAUACUGGAUAUGUGACGUGACCGCAUGGUCUGCGUUUGGAAAGAUUUUUCGGUUGGGGAUGGGCUCGCGGCCUAUCAGCUUGUUGGUGAGGUAAUGGCUCACCAAGGCGUCGACGGGUAGCCGGCCUGAGAGGGUGACCGGCCACACUGGGACUGAGACACGGCCCAGACUCCUACGGGAGGCAGCAGUGGGGAAUAUUGCACAAUGGGCGCAAGCCUGAUGCAGCAACGCCGCGUGAGGGAUGACGGCCUUCGGGUUGUAAACCUCCUUUAGCAGGGAAGAAGCGAAAGUGACGGUACCUGCAGAAAAAGCGCCGGCUAACUACGUG
rnacentral:rRNA from 1 species